UGGCAACCAUCCAAAGGGCAGCCUUGAAACACGUCUGGCCUCUUCUGCAGCACCAGAAAGAUCUUGAGGGGACAGCAGCCAUCCACACCCUCAUUGCGGUGCUGAUGCACGUGGAGGAUGUUGAGGAGGAGGUGGCGAAGGCAGCAAAGGUUACCCUGCGGCACCUGGCACAGGCCCUCCAUUGGCACUGUGGGGGCACCCUCCUGGUGGGGGGAACUUACAGCCUGCAAGAGCUACUUCAUCAGAUCGCCAAGCGCCUGAUUUGGUUCCCCAUCCCAAAGUUGCAGUUGGAGAUGGAAGUGUUCACCUGCCUUUGAUACUUCAAGAGCAAGCAGGCUUCAGUGAGGAGAACGGCUGCAAUGUUCAUUGGU